rnacentral:rRNA from 1 species
GUCCACGCCGUAAACGAUGUCUACUCGGAGUUUGGUGUCUUGAACACUGGGCUCUCAAGCUAACGCAUUAAGUAGACCGCCUGGGGAGUACGGCCGCAAGGUUAAAACUCAAAUGAAUUGACGGGGGCCCGCACAAGCGGUGGAGCAUGUGGUUUAAUUCGAUGCAACGCGAAGAACCUUACCUACUCUUGACAUCCAGAGAAUUCGCUAGAGAUAGCUUAGUGCCUUCGGGAACUCUGAGACAGGUGCUGCAUGGCUGUCGU